AAGAACAGCCCUCUUCGCUCUUCUGCCUU
rnacentral:piRNA from 1 species